UUUUUUUUUAUAACUUGUCCGUCCAUCUUUCUUUCAGUAAUUUAUAGUCACCUUUAUUUUAUUCACAUGCCUCUCCAUUAUCUUUUUUCCUCCUUAUUUCCUCGUCAAACUAUCUUCUUAUCACCCAUCAUUCUCUUCCCUUCAACUUUCCUGGUCUAUCUUCCUCGUAAUAACUGAUAGCAAGGUUCAUUUAUUUUACAUGCCUCUCCGUCAUUUUUUUUCUUCUACCUUCCCUCGUCAAGCUAUCUUCUCAUCACCCAUCAUUCUCUUCCCUUCAACUUUCCUGGUCUAUCUUUCUCGUAAUAACUGAUAGCAAGGUUCAUUUAUAACAUACCUCUCCAUCUUUUUUCCUUCUACCUUCCCUCGUCAAGCUAUCUUCUCAUCACCCAUCAUUCUCUUCUCUUCAACUUUCCUGGUCUAUCUUUCUCGUAAUAACUGAUUGCAAGGUUCAUUUAUUCCCACACCUUUCUCUCAUAAUUUUUCCUUCUGCUUUCCCUCGUCAAGCUAUCUCCUCAUCACCCAUCCUUAUCUUCCCUUCAACUUUCCUGGUCUAUCUUCCUCGUAAUAACUGAUAACAGGGUUCAUUUAUUCCCACACCUUUCUCUCAUAAUUUUUCCUUCUACUUUCCCUCGUCAAGCUAUCUUCUCAUCACCCAUCCUUCUCUUCCCUUCAACUUUCCUUGUCUCUCUCCCUCGAAAUAACUGAUUGCAAGGUUCAUUUAUUCACAAACUCUUCCUUCAUUUCCUCCACUCACUGCUACCUCAUCCAGGGACUUGUUGGUGGGUUCUUCUAAUCCCUAAUACUCUACACCCUCAGGUUAAGGCAGAGGAGGAAGGUUUAGAUAAGACAGUAUUAAGUGGAAUCUAUUUUUAUUGAAGUCAAGUCGUGAGGGGAAGCAAUUUCUGGCUCCUAGGUCGUGAGGGGAAGCAAUUUCUGGCUCCUAGGUCGUGAGGGGAAGCAAUUUCUGGCUCCUAGGUCGUGAGGGGAAGCAAUUUCUGGCUCCUAGGUCGUGAGGGGAAGCAAUUUCUGGCUCCUAGGUCGUGAGGGGAAGCAAUUUCUGGCUCCUAGGUCGUGAGGGGAAGCAAUUUCUGGCUCCUAGGUCGUGAGGGGAAGCAAUUUCUGGCUCCUUAUACUCAAAUGUUCAAGGUUAGACAGUCUUCAGGAUGGAGAUAACUUGUGUUCACCCCGACAGAGAUUGAACUGGUCUCUCAGCACUCUUCAACACCACCACACUGAGGUUAGAAAGCGCGCACCCUACCCCUUACCAAGCCUGAACUCUGUAGGAGGCAGCCAUGGCCUUAUUCGACUUCCAGCACAGGCUUUCAUGACAUAUAUGGCCUGUGGUGGAGUAGGUUGAAGAUGUGGCUGCCUCCUAAUGAGUUGAGGCUGGGUGAGAGGCAGGGCGAGUCUCACUUCUAACCUCUGAGUACUGGCGGCAUUAACGAGCGCUGAGAGGGUGACUCAAUCCCUGUCUAAAUAUGGCCUUUGAGAAUAUUAAAGAUGGUUGCUAGCUCAGGUUAGGUACUACUUCUAACCUCUUUACUGGUGGCAUCAAAGAGUGCUGAGAGGGUGACUCAAUCCCUGUCUAAAUAUGGCCUUUGAGAACAUUUAAGAUGGUUGCUAGCUCAGGUUAGGUACUACUUCUAACCUCUUUACUGGUGGCAUCAAAGAGUGCUGAGAGGGUGACUCAAUCCCUGUCUAAAUAUGGCCUUUGAGAACAUUAAAGAUGGUUGCUGAAGCUCAGGUUAGGUACAGGUACUUAAGUUGACUGAAAAUUUCCAUCCAUUACAGAGUGCUGGGAGUACAACCUUGGCCUUCAGAAGAGACAUGAUGCGGCAAACCAGCUGAGCCUCUGAUGUGCUGGAAGGCCACCGCACCAGAGGCCACUUCUGCAGCCUGUACCAGACACCCCGGCCCCCACUGUGGACAUGAAGGAAAGGCGACCCACUUACACUCGUGGUGGGUGGCAAGGCUUUAAAUUAACCCAGACUGGUGCGUGUGGUGUAGAUAUAAAAAUGCAAUGACACAUGUAUAAGCAGACCAUGUGCCGUUGUGAGUCGAAAAAACCCUUGCCAGCCACCACGAGGAAGGGCAGGUCACCUUUCCUUCAUGUCCACAGUGGGGGCCGGGGUGUGGUGUCAAGUGCUGCAGAAGUGACCUGUAGAACACUGACCUUUAAGCUUAUCAGUGGCUCAGUUCGUGUGCUGCCCAGACACCUAUUCUGAGGGUCUGGGUUCGACUCUCGGUACUCAACUAGUUAUGUACAUUAUGAGAUAUUUCACUGCAUAAUUCCAGCUGUUCUGAUGGAUACUGCUUUAGUGUAUGUACAUUUUGAGAUUCUUCACUGCAUAAUUCCAGCUCUUCUGAUGGAUACUGCUUUAGUUUUUAUGAGAUAUUUCACUGCAUAAUUCCAGCUGUUCUGAUGGAUACUGCUUUAGUGUAUGUACAUUAUGAGAUAUUUCACUGCAUAAUUCCAGCUGUUCUGAUGGAUACUGCUUUAGUGUAUGUACAUUAUGAGAUAUUUCACUGCAUAAUUCCAGCUGUUCUGAUGGAUACUGCUUUAGUGUAUGUACAUUAUGAGAUAUUUCACUGCAUAAUUCCAGCUGUUCUGAUGGAUACUACUUUAGUGUAUGUACAUUAUGAGAUAUUUCACUGCAUAAUUCCAGCUGUUCUGAUGGAUACUGCUUUAGUGUAUGUACAUUUUGAGAUAUUUCACUGCAUAAUUCCAGCUGUUCUGAUGGAUACUGCUUUAGUGUAUGUACAUUUUGAGAUAUUUCACUGCAUAAUUCCAGCUGUUCUGAUGGAUACUGCUUUAGUGUAUGUACAUUUUGAGAUAUUUCACUGCAUAAUUCCAGCUGUUCUGAUGGAUACUACUUUAGUGUAUGUACAUUAUGAGAUAUUUCACUGCAUAAUUCCAGCUUUUCUGAUGGAUACUGCUUUAGUGUAUGUACAUUAUGAGAUAUUUCACUGCAUAAUUCCAGCUUUUCUAAUGGAUACUGCUUUAGUGUAUGUACAUUAUGAGAUAUUUCACUGCAUAAUUCUAGCUUUUCUUAUGGAUACUGCUUUAGUGUAUGUACAUUUUGAGACUCUUCACUGCAUAAUUCCAGUUUAGUGUAACCAGUAAAGACAUUUGAUUCAAGAGGAGAUUUUUGUUCUAUUCUAAUAUUUCUUCCUCAGGCUUCCCAGGGAGGCGGACAGACGUGAGACAGCCAAUGAGAGCCUAAUGAGAGGAGACAGAAGAGGAAACAACUAUACAUAAGAGAAGGAAGCAGAACUGAGGAGGAAGAGCGAGAACACUGAUUGUGAUAAAGGAAAGGAGUGAGGAGAAGAAAGAAAAGGAGACAAAGAAGAAACAUAUAAGAAGCAGAAGUAGACAGGGCAGUAGGUGUGUGUCUGUACCAGUCUGUAUGGAGGCAACGGUGAUUAGGAGAGACAGACUGAGCGAGGGACGGCAUACCUUUGUCCCACCUGGUCUAUGUCUCCCAAACACUUGCUUCCACACAAACCAUACCUACUGCUAUCUUCACUGCUUCUUAGUCCUUAUAUGUCCCUUCCUUUCCUUCCACUAUGCUCUUCCUUCUCUUUCCUUCAGUGCCAUCUCCUUUCUUCUUUUAUCAAGUUGUGUGUUGUUCCCUCUUCUCUCUCCUCUUGUGGGUAGGUAGUCUCGGUCCACUCCUCUGCUGUCCAAUACUCUACAGUGUAUGAUCCUCUCUUGUAUAUGCAUUCUCUCUCUACAGGUGAAGGACUCUGGAUACUGCUGUGAAGGUGGAUUUGGAUUCUCUUCUGGAGCCUGACGUACUCUUACACUGGAUGCUGGCCGAUGUCUGGACUCUGCUGUGUUGGUGAUAACCCUUCUGCUAUGGAUUUCCGAGGCUGUGUUAUAUAUCGUUUUUCUGGAAUAUCUUGGUAAGUAUCUGUUGGAUCACUCUGAUACUUUGCCACAGUUUGUUUCACACCCUCCGCUAAUAUUUUUCGGCAUAGUGCAUUAUUAUCAGAGGGUGUGAGGAAGGCACAGACUCUUGACACUUGAAGGGAAAUAGCGAAAUGAAAGGACAGUAAUCGGACAGGGCCAGCGUGUCGUCUCUCUCUCUCUCGAAACAUUUAUUCACUUCUAACGAGCUCCAGGAAGAGGCGAUUCAAUCCUUUGAUAAGCUGACCAAUAAGAUGCUGAGAUUUGCAACACUUAUAGAAGACAGUGUUGUAGAGGAUCGAAGAUGCUUAACUGGUAUCAAGUGAACCCAUUAAUAGAGUUGAGUGCGUGUUUUCUAUUUUCUUGAGGAUUUUGAGUUGGCAAUACUGCAACCCUCCCCUCUCCCCUCUUCUCUUCACCCGAGAAGAUACCGUGGAUAUAUAGCUGCGUAGCGGAUGUAAAUUCUGAUACUGCUGAUAAACUACGGCAACGUUUGGCAUUAAAUAGGAAAACACCGUGUGCCGUAUAUGAAAAGAAAUACUUGAAAAUUUUACACUGGCUAGAGAGAAUAAUAGAAAUAGAAGACACAUAUGCAGCUGGGCUAUAGUGGUGGGUGGGUGGGGUCUGGGGAAUGACGUCACGCUGGCCCUGUCCGAUUACUGUCCUUUCAUUUUGCUAUUUCCCUUCAAGUGUCAAGAGUCUGUGCCUUACUCACACCCUCUGAUAACAAUGCACUAUGCUGACAAAUAUUAGCGGAGGGUGUGAAACAAACUGUGGCAAAGUAUCACAGUGAUCCAACAGACACUUACCGAGAUAUUCCAGAAAAAAACGAUAUAUAACACAGCCUCGGAAAUCCAUAGUAGAGGUCCUGGGUGCUGUGUUGGACUCCUCUGCAAUUCCCUUCUGGUUGCUGUGGUUGUGUGAUCUGCAAAAUAAACCAAUCUUAGACACA